rnacentral:rRNA from 1 species
AUUGAACGCUGGCGGCAUGCCUUACACAUGCAAGUCGAACGGCAGCACGGGUGCUUGCACCUGGUGGCGAGUGGCGAACGGGUGAGUAAUACAUCAGAACAUGUCCUGUAGUGGGGGAUAGCCCGGCGAAAGCCGGAUUAAUACCGCAUACGAUCUACGGAUGAAAGCGGGGGACCUUCGGGCCUCGCGCUAUAGGGUUGGCCGAUGGCUGAUUAGCUAGUUGGUGGGGUAAAGGCCUACCAAGGCGACGAUCAGUAGCUGGUCUGAGAGGACGACCAGCCACACUGGGACUGAGACACGGCCCAGACUCCUACGGGAGGCAGCAGUGGGGAAUUUUGGACAAAGGGCGAAAGCCUGAUCCAGCAAUGCCGCGUGUGUGAAGAAGGCCUUCGGGUUGUAAAGCACUUUUGUCCGGAAAGAAAUCCUUGGCCCUAAUACGGUCGGGGGAUGACGGUACCGGAAGAAUAAGCACCGGCUAACUACGUG